rnacentral:misc_RNA from 1 species
GGUCUUAAUAAAGAACAUGCACAUAAAUGAAAAAUUAUCAACACCAAAGAUAGGUGCCAAUAAAUUUUUCAUGCCAAUAUAACAUAGAUUGAUAUGGCAUUACAAAUUACAUUUAAAGAAUUUCUCACUGAUUGUUGAACAGAAUUUGGAGAACCACAGUGAACUAUAAGCAUUUUUACUUUAUUUAGGCUUCCAUAAAGAAAACACCCAUUUAUACUUUCUGAAAGUCUUAAACUAACAAAAAAGUUUUAAAGAUUUAUUCAGCUUU